GGGGGACGACCAUGUAACUUCCAACAUUGUUCUUUGGUAUGCCAUUGUUUUUUGCAAUGCUCGUAGACAGGAAUUGGUUUUCCAUUAUGCUUGUCACUACUACUGUUAGAAGAUCUUGCACUAAAAGCAGCAGAGUCAAUAGUAUGGGUUGCAGAAAUAUUCAUAGCACUUGUAUGAUCUUCCUCGAGGCGGAUUUCAGAGCAAACUUCCAUCAGGGAGGGAA
rnacentral:lncRNA from 1 species